GUAUGUUGGAUCCCUGCUAGGGCAGCGACAACAUUCUCUUCAUGCCUGUUCAUUCGAUGGUCGGAUUUCGCAUGCGGUCAUCUAGAUUUCGGUUCCCUGUGUUGCAUACCUGUUGCAAAGGUACCUUGUUGGCUAAAACGACCCUAUUUCGCCCUACGCUACGAGUUAUAUUGCAGCUGAAGGUGAACCUAAAAGCAUUCAUCGUGUUCCACCUUGUUCACUUCAAUUGUGGCAGGAUUUGGACCUCGAUGAUGUGCUCGAAUUCUCGGAUGCGGAAUACUAAGUGGGUACGAGGACCUCGAUCCUCUGUUUACCCUGAACAAGCGUUCUACGCUUCGUGCGAAUGACGUUCUUCCUUGUUCUGGACUUCUGUCCAUGCAAGGUUGACGUCGAAUAGGAAUGC
rnacentral:misc_RNA from 1 species